rnacentral:rRNA from 1 species
GAACGAGACCUUCGGGUCUAGUGGCGCACGGGUGCGUAACGCGUGGGAAUCUGCCCUUGGGUUCGGAAUAACAGUUAGAAAUGACUGCUAAUACCGGAUGAUGACGUAAGUCCAAAGAUUUAUCGCCCAAGGAUGAGCCCGCGUAGGAUUAGCUUGUUGGUGAGGUAAAAGCUCACCAAGGCGACGAUCCUUAGCUGGUCUGAGGGGAUGAUCAGCCACACUGGGACUGAGACACGGCCCAGACUCCUACGGGAGGCAGCAGUGGGGAAUAUUGGACAAUGGGCGAAAGCCUGAUCCAGCAAUGCCGCGUGAGUGAUGAAGGCCUUAGGGUUGUAAAGCUCUUUUACCCGGGAUGAUAAUGACAGUACCGGGAGAAUAAGCUCCGGCUAACUCCGUG